rnacentral:rRNA from 1 species
GCAAGUCGAGCGGUAACAGAGAGUAGCUUGCUACUUUGCUGCCGAGCGGCGGAUGGGUGAGUAACGCGUAGCAAUCUGCCUAGUAGUGGGGGAUAGCCCAGAGAAAUUUGGAUUAAUACCGCAUACGCCCUACGGGGGAAAGCGGGGGAUCUUCGGACCUCGUGCUAUUAGAUGAGUCUGCGUCGGAUUAGCUUGUUGGUGAGGUAAUGGCUCACCAAGGCGACGAUCCGUAGCUGGUCUGAGAGGAUGAUC